CCUGUCUCGAUUCUUUUGUGAGAAAGUUCAUUUUCAAUGCCCUCCAUUCGAAUUCUCAAAGCGUAGACGCAUGGCUUGUUGCUUCUCAGAGGGGGCUGGCUACUAACAACAAUGCUGCUCCAUAAGUCAGAGAAAUACUUCUCAUUGAGGAAAAUGACACCAAGGAGAGGUCUGCUCAUGGACCACUGAUUCCGACUGUCCUUCAAAUAUGAUGAUGAUGAAGAUAUUGAGAACAGUGGAGAGCAUCUGCUGGAUCAUUUCAGGGUGGUUUCUGCAUAAUGUGCAGGAAGGCGCUUGCUCUCUUGUUGUGGUGGGGGGCUCCUCGUUUCUUACCAGUUCGGGAUAACUGUUUUGAAGAGGAGGUAUGUGACUAUGUGGUUUAGAAAGGUUUAGAAAAGCAAGCAAAGAAAAUGUUAGCAGUUUCUAAUGGAAAGCAGCCAAAUGUCAACGAAGGUGUCACUGUGAGAAUUAAAGUACCCGAAGUGGACAGAGCAAAAACUGAUGCCCGCUCGAUUUUUACCGGUAUUUUGAAAAACAAUUGUAUGCCAAAUCAGAAUUCAGUGUUUGCAAAGAGAGAUUUUUAAUGAAAGAAGAUGUCCCUGCUGUGGAAAUAUCUUUAUGUCAAACAACAAUCAAACAAUCCAUUGGUACUGGUCAGGGUUUCCGAAAAUGUGACUGCAAAUCGAAAAUGUACCACAAAUAGGUGUGUUUGUCGCAAAAAAAAGAUUGUUAUGUAAUUCAAAGUGUCGCCAAUCUUUAGAUUGCACUAAUAAGUAAGCAUAGCUUUAUAAUAUGUUUGUUCAGCAAAUUCAUUUCCAUAAUCGUUUGAUUCUUUCUAUUGCAGUUUUGUAACAGAAACUUGCUUCUUUG